UCGAAAACGCGCACUCUCUCUCUCUCUCUUCUCUCUCCCACCAGUUCACAUUAUCUUCUCCAUUUUCUCCUCUCAGAUCCAGAGUUCCAGACUGAGAGCUCGGGUGGGCGGCGGCGGCGGCGAUUGUGGCUCCGGCGAGGCGGCAGAGCGGAAGCUGAGGCUCCAGCUAGCUCCCGUGCGCGGCGUCGUGCCGGGCGCAGUGGAGUGGAUCCACGUUGGCUGCAGCUCAGGUGAGCUCGUGCAGGGGCGGCGCGCCGGCCGCUGUCGGCCACUAUCCAAAUCCACCCACGCCGUCGCAUCCCAAGUGCCAAAAUCACCGGCACCUGUGAAGACAGAUCGACGGUCCCUGAUCCAGAUCUUGAGCUAACGCCAACAAGGUAUUUUAAUCCAACUAAUUUGUUUUCGAUUUCAAUUCCAUCUCUAGACUGUUUUCGAUUUCUUUGCCAUGGAGUUCGUGAUGCAGAACAGUAGCUGCAGAUAUGUUGCGGAUGAACAUGUGCCAUGGAUACUAGGCAUGUCAUCACUCUGUGUUCUGAAACAGAAGAUGAAGCGGCGCGUCGUCGUCGUGAAAAAAUUGCAAUAUUAGAAUUGCAAACACUGACCACUCAGGAAAUUGCAACUCCCAAUGAAUGACAUGAUGGGACCAUCUGGGCAUAUGAAAUAGGGGGCUAAUGACAAAACUGCAGAGGUCAAUGUUUGCGGUUCCAUUUUUACAAAUUUCUCGGUCGUCGUUCAGGUGCGCGAUAGGAGUUGCAGAAGAAGGAUCGCAAUUCUGAAUGGGGAGCAACGAGCUCUAUUCAAGUUGAUUGAUGUCUUUUCUUUUUCCUGUGUAACUAGAGCCAACAGAUGUAUGAGUUGCGCAUAUGAAUCUUGUUGUGUACUCUCAUGCCAAUUAAGUAGAUUUUCUUCUUGAAAUUUGAUCAUCGUUUCUAAAUGUGAAUAGUAGAAACAACAUCUGUGUGAAAGAAAUAAUAAAUAGCAACAAUCAUUAUAUAUAUUUUCUUUCCCUACGGCACUAGAUUAUAAUGGUAGGGGAAGUAUCUUCACAGCUAGGAUAGUAACAGCCAUGUCACCACUUCCCCUAGAAACUCAAUUCCUAGGGAAAGAUCGAUUCCCUACGGUAUUCUAGAGAAACGUAGGGUUCCCGAUUUCGUUCCCUAGAAAAUGUUUCCUACCAAAAUCUCAGGGAAUAGUUUCCCUACGGUAUUCAAGGCUUUCCCUAGGAUUUUUCAACCAAGGGAAAUCGAGGAUUCCAGUAGUGAAGCAAAGCAGCGAAGUUUCCAGUUCUUUCAGCUAUGGCUCGGGACUUCCUUGCAAUUCCUCUUAGCACUUAGUCAUCCGAAUCUGCUUUCAGUUUAGGGGGAAGGAUUCUUGGAGACCAUAGAAACUCACUAUCUCCGGAAAUGCUUGAGGCCCUUGUAUGCGGGAAAGUUUGGUUAUAUAAGACCAAAUAUCCUGAACUCUGUUCUGAUGGUGAAGGUCCUGAGCAAGAGUAAAAGUGUCGCCUCACUGAAGACGUGAAAAUGUGAGCAGCCAACAAGUUUGAGGGUGUCCAAUGCAGGUCCUAAGCAAGAGUAAAAGCAUUAUGUGAUCUUCUGAUGUGGAACGGAAGCACAACGUGGCAUUGUGCUGAAUCUGCAAUCUUGGAAAGACCACAAAUUUCAUAUUAUAGGGUGUGUUCUAUUGUAUGCCCUAUUAUCGAUGUGUGUGUUGUCUUCCUGAUUUUUUUUACUAUUUUUUGGACACCCA